rnacentral:rRNA from 1 species
GGAUUAGAUACCCUGGUAGUCCACGCCGUAAACGAUGGAUACUAGGUGUUUGGGGUGUUAACCCCCUGAGUACCAAAGCUAACGCAUUAAGUAUCCCGCCUGGGGAGUACGGUCGCAAGGCUAAAACUCAAAGGAAUUGACGGGGGCCCGCACAAGCGGUGGAGUAUGUGGUUUAAUUCGAAGCAACGCGCAGAACCUUACCUACCCUUAACAUUCAGCGACAACCUCAGAGAUGAGGCUUUCUCUUCGGAGACGCUGGGAUAGGUGCUGCAUGGCUGUCGUCAGCUCGUGCCG